UGUGCACAGGCUUUGUUUCUUGUGUUUUCCAGGGGUUCUGCCACCUUCUCACAGACAGUCCAGUGCUUCAGGGCCCCUGCUGGUAAGAGGUCACUGUGGAGGAGAGAGAAUGUGUGCAGCCUGAGAGGGCCAGAGCCACCUGCCAGUUAGGUUUGAUGGUCUUCAUCUGUCCUUGUACGGCACACGGUGACGGCAGCAGCCUCCAACUGGGGUCAGAGCCAGUGGCCCGAGAACCUCUCAGCUCAGGGGAGGCGACCGAGUCAGGGAUCACAGGACCCUCUGAGCCAGCCGGGCGUCCUUCCUUCACAUCGAAGAUGGAUUCACAUCCCCAGCUGUGGGAAAGAUAAGUGGAGGGCUCCCACCUGGAGAGGGGAUGGGAGCUG